ACGCUCGACACCUACGGGAGCAGCAGUGGGGAAUAUUGGGCAAUGGGCGAAAGCCUGACCCAGCAACGCCGCGUGAGGGAAGAAGGUUUUCGGAUUGUAAACCUCUGUCCUCAGGGACGAAGGACGUGACGGUACCUGAGGAGGAAGCCCCGGCUAACUACGUACCAGCAGCCGCGGUAAUCUGAGCGGGCUGGCAAGGC
rnacentral:rRNA from 1 species